rnacentral:rRNA from 1 species
CACGUAGGGGGCGAGCGUUGUCCGGAAUCACUGGGCGUAAAGGGCGUGUAGGCGGCUGAUUAAGUCAGUUGUAAAAGGCUGCGGCUUAACCGCAGAAGUGCAAUUGAAACUGGUCAGCUUGAGGGCAAGAGAGGAAAGCGGAAUUCCUAGUGUAGCGGUGAAAUGCGUAGAUAUUAGGAGGAACACCAGUGGCGAAGGCGGCUUUCUGGCUUGACCCUGACGCUGAGGCGCGAAAGCGUGGGGAGCAAACAGGAUUAGAUACC